rnacentral:rRNA from 1 species
UACGGGGGGGGCAAGCGUUGUUCGGAAUUACUGGGCGUAAAGGGCGCGUAGGCGGCCUUCUAAGUCGGACGUGAAAUCCCUCGGCUUAACCGAGGAACUGCGUCCGAUACUGAAAGGCUUGAAUCCGGGAGAGGGAUGUGGAAUUCCAGGUGUAGAGGUGAAAUUCGUAGAUAUUCGCAAGAACACCAGUGGCGAAGGCGGCUCACUGGCCCGAUACUGACGCUGAGGCACGAAAGCGUGGGGAGCAAACAGGG